rnacentral:lncRNA from 11 species
CAGGCGUCUGCCUGCAAUGACUCUUCUCUAAAAUAAGAAACAGCUAUAAGAACUUGCCUCCUUUAAGUGCCUUGGAAAGUGCAUGCAGGUCCAGAAGAAAAAGCGCAGGUGCCUGCCUGCAGUGCUUCUCCUCUAGAGUAAGAGCCAUUUUUAAGACUUUGCCUCCUUUAAAUACCUUGGAAAGUGUGUGUGGUGUGUGCAGGCCUGGGAGAGAAAGCACAAGCACCUGCCUACAGCGCUUCUUCUCUAGAGUAGAAGGAUUCUGUGAUUCUCCAGAACUGAAUAGGGUCUUCAGUCUGAAAGAGCUUCCCAUUUUUGGUCCUGCCAACCAUUGUUUACCACGAUGACCGAGGAUGUUAUUAAAAUACCAGUGGCAAAAGAUUUGGUGUUCAAAAUCAGGUGGACCACAAAUUCAGAAAAUUUCCAGAACUGUGAAGAACACUGUCAAUUUGGAGAUAUUUUGGCAUAUUGAACAAGACUAAUCAUAAAGAAAUAUGUUCACAUAUCAAGUCAUUGAGGCAUGCAUAGAUACCAUGAUUUUGUAUUUCAAAAGCAAAUGUUCUUUUUUUACAUGGGCCCUUAAUUGCUUGCAAGCCAUUCUUAGGAAUACAAAUUUGAGCAAUGCAAUUAUAACUAUAUGAAGCAAUAUCUCCACCAUUGACCAAUAUCCACAGUAUAAGGAUGCAGCAUUGCUUUAUUUAAGAUAGAACUUUCAGCAAAAAGGUAUUGGAUUUCCAGAACAUCACUGCAGAUUACUGGGGCAUUUAAACUGAGUCAAAAUUUUCACUCAGAUGCUAAAACUUAUUACAUGGAUGCCUAGCAAUUUCAUAGAAAUUUCUUUCUGUGUAAUAGACGUCACCCUUUUAUUUUAUUUUUUUGUAACUGGAAAUAUGAAGGCUACAUUGAAAAUAAGUAUUUGAUCAAAAGUAAGCUUUUAAAAUGGUUUAGAGGAAAUUGAAAUAAAGUACAAACUCUUCUGCCUAUCAUAAACAUGACACAUAUUUCUAAAGCAGACAAAUAAACAUUGAAGCUUCUCUGCGUUAGUAGCUGUUAUGAAAGGAACCACUUACUUAUGAUUUCUGUGUUUUGAAUUACCCUUCUUUUGCCAUUUAUUCAGUUUUGACUUUGAGCAAAUGCCUUUCUUGUCCCUGUACAAUGUGACUCCAUAAUAAAAUAUGCAGAGCAAUAUUUAUUGUACUUGGAACAGUCUCUGUGACCGAAAUAUUCAAAUAGCAAUGCUUCCUGGAAUAAGAAUAAAAUGUUAUUAAUCUGUCUUCUAUCCUCCCUCAUUCUCUAAGCUCACCUAGACAUGCCCUCUGUGUACAUUAUACUUCAUCCCUGUACAAGGACAUUGUUAAAACUACAACAAUUUUAUCAUUAGGGAAACCUCUUUAAUAUGGCACUAUAGUGAAACUAUUCAAACAAUCACAGCAUGAUGUAAUGAUCUGAGUGUAAGAGUAAGAUUACAGGAGGAUUGGCUUCAAAGCCCCAGUGAACCAGGGAAACCCACUGGAUGACCUUGGAUAAGUCACACUCUCUCAGCCUGAAAGGAAGACAGGCCUAUCCAGUCAAUUUUUAAUCAUGAGUUUUGAUUUACAUUCUAU